CCAGCCACACUGGAACUGAGACACGGUCCAGACUCCUACGGGAGGCAGCAGUGGGGAAUAUUGCACAAUGGGCGCAAGCCUGAUGCAGCCAUGCCGCGUGUAUGAAGAAGGCCUUCGGGUUGUAAAGUACUUUCAGCGGGGAGGAAGGGAGUAAAGUUAAUACCUUUGCUCAUUGACGUUACCCGCAGAAGAAGCACCGGCUAACUCCGUGCCAGCAGCCGCGGUAAUACGGAGGGUGCAAGCGUUAAUCGGAAUUACUGGGCGUAAAGCGCACGCAGGCGGUUUGUUAAGUCAGAUGUGAAAUCCCCGGGCUCAACCUGGGAACUGCAUCUGAUACUGGCAAGCUUGAGUCUCGUAGAGGGGGGUAGAAUUCCAGGUGUAGCGGUGAAAUGCGUAGAGAUCUGGAGGAAUACCGGUGGCGAAGGCGGCCCCCUGG
rnacentral:rRNA from 1 species